rnacentral:misc_RNA from 1 species
GAUGAAGAACGUAGCGAAAUGCGAUAAGUAAUGUGAAUUGCAGAAUUCAGUGAAUCAUCGAAUCUUUGAACGCACAUUGCGCCCGCCAGUAUUCUGGCGGGCAUGCCUGUUCGAGCGUCAUUUCAACCCUCAAGCCCCAGCGGCCUGGUGUUGGGGACCGGCGACCUCGCCCGAGCCCGCCCUCCGGGGCGCGUGCCCGGUGCGUCCGCCGCCCCCGAAAUGAAUUGGCGGCCUCGUCGCGGCCUCCUCUGCGUAGUAGCACAACCUCGCAAGCGGGAGCGCGACGCGGCCACUGCCGUAAAACGCCCCGACCACGGAGCCCCGGCUCCUGAACGUUGACCUCGGAUCAGGUAGGAAUACCCGCUGAACUUAAGCAUAUCAAUAAGCGGAGGA